rnacentral:rRNA from 1 species
GGGCCUAAAGCGUCCGUAGUCGGUUUAAUAAGUCUCUGGUGAAAUACCUGUAGCGUUAACUGUGGGAAUUGCUGGAGAUACUAUUAGACUUGAGACCGGGAGAGGUUAGAGGUAUCCCAGGGUAGAGGUGAAAUUCUGUAAUCCUGGGAGGACCGCCUGUUGCGAAGGCGUCUAACUGGAACGGUUCUGACGGUGAGGGACGAAAGUUAGGGGCGCGAACCGGAUUAGAUACCCGGGUAGUCCUAACUGUAAACGAUGCGGACUUGGUGUUGGGGUGGCUUUGAGCUGCUCCAGUGCCGAAGGGAAGCUGUUAAGUCCGCCGCCUGGGAAGUACGGUCGCAAGACUGAAACUUAAGGAAUUGGCGGGGGAGCACCACAACGCGUGGAGCCUGCCGGUUUAAUUGGAUUCAACGCCGGACAUCUCACCAGAGGCGACAGCUGUAUGAUAGCCAGGUUGAUGACUUUGCUUGACUAGCUGAGAGGUGGUGCAUGG